CAGCCGCCACGGGAAUACGAAGGGGGCUAGCGUUGUUCGGAUUUACUGGGCGUAAAGGGCGCGUAGGCGGACUGAUAGUCAGGGGUGAAAUCCCAAGGCUCAACCUUGGAACUGCCUUUGAUACUGUUUGUCUUGAGUUCGAGAGAGGUAAGUGGAACUGCGGGUGUAGAGGUGAAAUUCGUAGAUAUUCGCAAGAACACCAGUGGCGAAGGCGGCUUACUGGCUCGAUACUGACGCUGAGGCGCGAAAGCGUGGGGAGCAAACAGGAUUAGAUACCCCUGUAGUCCCUGUCUCUUAUACA
rnacentral:rRNA from 1 species